UACGUAGGUGGCGAGCGUUAUCCGGAAUGAUUGGGCGUAAAGGGUGCGCAGGCGGUCCUGCAAGUCUGGAGUGAAACGUAUGAGCUCAACUCAUGCAUGGCUCUGGAAACUGGAGGACUGGAGUGCAGGAGAGGUAAGCGGAAUUCCUGGUGUAGCGGUGAAAUGCGUAGAUAUCAGGAGGAACACCAGUGGCGAAGGCGGCCGCCUGGCCUGUUAACUGACGCUGAGGCGCGAAAGCGUGGGGAGCAAAUAGG
rnacentral:rRNA from 1 species